rnacentral:rRNA from 1 species
ACGGUAACAGGAAGCAGCUUGCUGCUUCGCUGACGAGUGGCGGACGGGUGAGUAAUGUCUGGGAAACUGCCUGAUGGAGGGGGAUAACUACUGGAAACGGUAGCUAAUACCGCAUAACGUCGCAAGACCAAAGAGGGGGACCUUCGGGCCUCUUGCCAUCGGAUGUGCCCAGAUGGGAUUAGCUUGUUGGUGGGGUAACGGCUCACCUAGGCGACGAUCCCUAGCUGGUCUGAGAGGAUGACCAGCCACACUGGAACUGAGACACGGUCCAGACUCCUACGGGAGGCAGCAGUGGGGAAUAUUGCACAAUGGGCGCAAGCCUGAUGCAGCCAUGCCGCGUGUAUGAAGAAGGCCUUCGGGUUGUAAAGUACUUUCAGCGGGGAGGAAGGGAGUAAAGUUAAUACCUUUGCUCAUUGACGUUACCCGCAGAAGAAGCACCGGCUAACUCCGUGCCAAGCAGCCGCGGUAAUUACGGAGGGUGCAAGCGUUAAUCGGAAUUACUGGGCGUAAAGCGCACGCAGGCGGUUUGUUAAGUCAGAUGUGAAAUCCCCGGGCUCAACCUGGGAACUGCAUCUGAUACUGGCAAGCUUGAGUCUCGUAGAGGGGGGUAGAAUUCCAAGGUGUAGCGGUGAAAUGCGUAGAGAUCUGGAGGAAUACCGGUGGCGAAGGCGGCCCCCCUGGACGAAGACUGACGCUCAGGUGCGAAAGCGUGGGGAGCAAACAGGAUUAGAUACCCUGGUAGUCCACGCCGUAAAACGAUGUCGACUUGGAGGUUGUGCCCUUGAGGCGUGGCUUCCGGAGCUAACGCGUUAAGUCGACCGCCUGGGGAGUACGGCCGCAAGGUUAAAACUCAAAUGAAUUGACGGGGGCCCGCACAAGCGGUGGAGCAUGUGGUUUAAUUCGAUGCAACGCGAAGAACCUUACCUGGUCUUGACAUCCACGGAAGUUUUCAGAGAUGAGAAUGUGCCUUCGGGAACCGUGAGACAGGUGCUGCAUGGCUGUCGUCAGCUCGUGUUGUGAAAUGUUGGGUUAAGUCCCGCAACGAGCGCAACCCUUAUCCUUUGUUGCCAGCGGUCCGGCCGGGAACUCAAAGGAGACUGCCAGUGAUAAACUGGAGGAAGGUGGGGAUGACGUCAAGUCAUCAUGGCCCUUACGACCAGGGCUACACACGUGCUACAAUGGCGCAUACAAAGAGAAGCGACCUCGCGAGAGCAAGCGGACCUCAUAAAGUGCGUCGUAGUCCGGAUUGGAGUCUGCAACUCGACUCCAUGAAGUCGGAAUCGCUAGUAAUCGUGGAUCAGAAUGCCACGGUGAAUACGUUCCCGGGCCUUGUACACACCUCCCGUCACACCAUGGGAGUGGGUUGCAAAAGAAGUAGGUAGCUUAACCUUCGGGAGGGCGCUUACC